GGAAUAUAAAAACCCGUCUCUUAACUUUUAACUAAAAAAGCUAAGAACCGGCUCUUAAAUAAGAAUUUUAAGAACCGAUUCUUAGUUUUUUUAGUUAAAAGUUAAGAGAUGAUGUUAGGAGUUUUC
rnacentral:pre_miRNA from 1 species